rnacentral:snoRNA from 1 species
GCCGUCGUGAUGAGAAGCGCAGGGGUCCAGACCUCAGCCGACAAUGGGGGCUGAGCGCCGUCGCCUGCGUC